rnacentral:sRNA from 1 species
CGGCCUCCUUUUAGCUGCCAUCUUGCGUCCCCGCGUGUGUGCGCCUAAUCUCAGCUGGUCCACCCGAGACCCCUUGAGCACCAACCCUAGUCCCCCGCGCGGCCCCUUAUUCGCUCCGACAAGGGAACUGCUCGCAGAAAGAAGAAGGUGGUUCAUAGAACAGCCACAGCAGAUGACAAAAAACUUCAGUUCUCCUUAAAGAAGUUAGGGGUAAACAAUAUCUCUGGUAUUGAAGAGGUGAAUAUGUUUACAAACCAAGGAACAGUGAUCCACUUUAACAACCCUAAAGUUCAGGCAUCUCUGGCAGCGAACACUUUCACCAUUACAGGCCAUGCUGAGACGAAGCAGCUGACAGAAAUGCUACCCAGCAUCUUAAACCAGCUUGGUGCGGAUAGUCUGACUAGUUUAAGGAGACUGGCCGAAGCUCUGCCCAAACAAUCUGUGGAUGGAAAAGCACCACUUGCUACUGGAGAGGAUGAUGAUGAUGAAGUUCCAGAUCUUGUGGAGAAUUUUGAUGAGGCUUCCAAGAAUGAGGCAAACUGAAUUGAGUCAACUUCUGAAGAUAAAACUUGAAGAAGUUACUGGGAGCUGCUAUUUUAUAUUAUGACUGCUUUUUAAGAAAUUUUUGUUUAUGGAUCUGAUAAAAUCUAGAUCUCUAAUAUUUUUAAGCCCAAGCCCCUUGGACACUGCAGCUCUUUUCAGUUUUUGCUUAUACACAAUUCAUUCUUUGCAGCUAAUUA